AUAUAAAAUCCAAGUAAAAGUUAAACAACUCAACAGUAUUCUAAUAAAUUCUAAAGCGGAAAACAGUUAUUUCAUCUUAAAGAAAAACAUGAAACUAUUUCAAUUAAUAUUUUUAAUUGGUUGCAUUGUAGCCAGUGUAAUGGCUGCUCCUGGAUAUAAUUUAAUCAAUGGAGUCACAAAUACCGGUGUUAUGGAUGUUCCUGGAUGUAAUAUAAUCAAUGGAUUCCAAAGCACCGGUACUCAUAAUUUUGCCAAUGGAUGCAAAAACAACAGUGGAAAGGCUAAGGGAAAUGUAAGCUUAAUGUUUGCCCUUUUAAUGAACAUAUUUAUUUAUUUCCAAAUAAUAGUACAAUGAAUAUUUUUUAGAAUAAAAAAAAGGGUUGAGUCAAAAACUGGCGCAAAUCAUAAAAAUAAUAAUAAAUAAAAUUUUGAAUAUAAAUCAAAUGUAAUCUGAAUUUAAUAAAGUUAAUAAAAAUA